GUUAGGAAUAUUGGACAAUGGGCGAAAGCCUGAUCCAGCCAUGUCGCGUGAACGAUGAAGGCCUUCGGGUUGUAAAGUUCUUUAGCCGAUGAUUAUAAUGACUGUAGUCGGAAAAUAAGCCCCGGCUAACUUCGUGUCAGCAGCCGCGGUAAUACGAAGGGGGCGAGCGUUAUUCGGAAUCACUGGGCGUAAAGCGUGCGUAGGCGGUUUUGUAAGUUAGGAGUGAAAGCCCAGGGCUCAACCUUGGAAUUGCUCUUAAAACUGCAAGGCUCGAAUCUCGGAGAGGAUAGCGGAAUUUCCAGUGUAGCAGUGAAAUGCGUAGAUAUUGGAAGGAACACCAGUGGCGUAAGCGGCUAUCUGGACGAGUAUUGACGCUGAGGCACGAAAGCGUGGGGAUCAAACAGGAUUAGAUACCCCAGUAGUCC
rnacentral:rRNA from 1 species